AGUUAUGCCAUUAAGGAGAGAAAGACAAAUAAAACAGGUAAUGUAAUGGUUGAGGUAUUAAGACCAAGAGAAAUUACUUUUAUGAGGUGAAAACAACACCAAAUAACAGGUUCUAUUAUAUAGCAGGUGAAACAACACCAAAUAACAGGUUCUAUUAUAUAGCAGGUGAAACAACACCAAAUAACAGGUUCUAUUAUAUAGCAGGUGAAACAACACCAUUAACAGCAGAGAUAAUGUAAAACAAGGGAUCAAAUCAGUAAGAGGUAGUUGUGCCAGUUAAUUACUUGCAUUCAUCAUAGAGCGAACUUAUCAUGCGAAAGGGUUCAGACACACAUCUUAUAGUUGAAAGCAAGUGUUAGGGCUGAAACUUGAAAAAUAACCACUAAAAAUAUUGCAAAUGGAAAAACUGAUUCAAAGAGUAUCAUGAGCAUCUGAUUAGAUCAGUCACAGUUGAGAAUCAAACAUAAAUUCUAGAAUACCAAAGGAGUUGAGAAAUGUCAAUUCAGAAAAGCAGAAUUAUCUUAUGAUUGACAUCAUUAAUUAAUUCACUACUAAAAUCCAUGCCCAUUUCAAUUGCCCUUCUUGUUAAAAAUCUUUCCAUGUUGAUAAUAACAAACAAUUAAACAUCUACACUCUAAAAGGGGCGACAAUUUGUUAUGUUCUUUUCAAGAAUAAGACUAUGAUUUCAACACAUUUCUCAAUCAGCACAAGAUGAAAAUAGUGGAAUCACGGUUAUCAUAUAGUCGGGAAUCAAUAAUUCACUCCUCAUUUAUU